AGAAUCAACGCUGGCGGCGUGCCUAACACAUGCAAGUCGCACGAGAAAGGGACUUCGGUCCUGAGUAAAGUGGCGCACGGGUGAGUAACACGUGAAUCAUCUACCUCCGAAUGGGGGAAUAACUGAGAGAAAUCUUAGCUAAUACCGCAUAAUACCUACGGGUCAAAGCAGCAAUGCGUUUGGAGAGGAGUUCGCGGUCGAUUAGUUAGUUGGCGGGGUAAUGGCCCACCAAGACGAUGAUCGAUAUCCGGCCUGAGAGGGCGCACGGACACACUGGAACUGAAACACGGUCCAGACUCCUACGGGAGGCAGCAGUGGGGAAUUUUGCGCAAUGGGGGAAACCCUGACGCAGCAACGCCGCGUGGAGGAUGAAAUAUCUUGGUAUGUAAACUCCUUUCGAUGGGGAAGAUAAUGACGGUACCCAUAGAAGAAGCCCGGCUAACUUCGCGCCAGCAGCCGC
rnacentral:rRNA from 1 species